AGCGCAUCCCGAAAAGUGCGAAGCGGUUUUCGGAUAAGAUGCGCG
rnacentral:misc_RNA from 1 species